UACGUAGGCAGCGAGCGUUGUUCGGAAUUACUGGGCGUAAAGAGUGUGUAGGCGGUUGUUCCAGUCUGUUGUGAAAUCUCCCGGACUUGAACGUGGGAGGGUGCAGCGGAAACUAGAAUGCUAGAGGGUGGAGAGGGUAAGCGGGAAUUCCUGGUGUAGCGGUGAAAUGCGUAGAUAUCAGGAGGAACGACCUGUGGUGUAAGGACAGCUUACCUGGGACCACUUCUGACGCUGAGACACGAAAGCGUGGGUAGCAAACAGG
rnacentral:rRNA from 1 species